UACGGGGGGAGCAAGCGUUGUUCGGAUUUACUGGGCGUAAAGGGCGCGUAGGCGGUCAGCACAAGUCAGUUGUGAAAUCUCCGGGCUUAACUCGGAAAGGUCAACUGAUACUGUGCGACUAGAGUGCGGAAGGGGCAACUGGAAUUCUCGGUGUAGCGGUGAAAUGCGUAGAGAUCGGGAGGAGCAUCCGUGGCGAAGGCGGCCAUCUGGACCAACACUGACGUUGAGGCACGAAAGCGUGGGGAGCAAACAGG
rnacentral:rRNA from 1 species